AGGGAUUCCCCCAGUAGUGGCGAAUGAAGCGGGAAAAGCUCAAGUUUGAAAUCUGGCGACCCAGUCUCCAGAGUUGUAAGCUGAAGAGGAUUUGACCGACGUGGUCCGGGCCCAAUUUCCUUGGAACAGGAAGUCAUGGAGGGUGAGAACCCCGUCUGUGGCUCGGGCACCAUCGUCCUAGUGUCGUUUCCUCGAAGAGUCGGGUUGUUUGGGAAUGCAGCUCAAAAUGGGUGGUAAAUUUCAUCUAAAGCUAAAUAUUGGCGAGAGACCGAUAGCAAACAAGUAGAGUGAUCGAAAGAUGAAAAGUACUUUGAAAAGAGAGUGAAACAGUAUGUGAAAUUGUUGAAAGGGAAGCGUUUGGCAUCAG
rnacentral:rRNA from 1 species